ACAGAAUCCUGCUGCGAUCCCUGGUGAGUGAAGGAGGACGGCCUCAUACACCAAGCAGGAGAUCAGCUGUCCAGUGGAUUCCCCAGAGGACACAGCUGGGUGUCCUCUCGUGCAACUGAGAGUUGCAAGCUUAAGCUUCCAGAGCUUUUGGACAACCUGCCAUAAAUUGAGGUUCUUAUAAUUCCUUUCCUAAGCUCGUUUAAUUUGCUGGAAAGAUUUGCAGAACAUGGGAAACACUUUAUUUGUGAUUAACGUUUAUUAAUAAAUGAUGCAGAUGAACAGCCAGAGGCAAAGAUGUGCAGAUGGACCAAAGACUAGAACCCCCUUAACAGAUACUCAGUUGGUUAUCCUUCUGGGAAACUGGAGAGAAUGGACAAAAAUGGCUAUUUCCAGACUGAGAUCUUCAAGCAUACUGUUUAUGGCAAUAACCUCUUUUUGAUCCACGUAUUUGCCCUUCUCUUCUGCUCCACCUACUCAUGA